rnacentral:tmRNA from 1 species
GGGGCUGACUUGGAUUUCGACAGAUUUCUUGUCGCACAGAUAGCAUGCCAAGCGCUGCUUGUAAAACAGCAACAAAAAUAACUGUAAACAACGCAGAUUACGCUCCAGCUUACGCUAAAGUUGCGUGAGUUAAUCUCCUUUUGGAGCUGGACUGAUUAGAAUUUCUAGCGUUUUAAUCACUCCAUAACCUUAAGCUAGACGCUUUUAAAAGGUGGUUCGCCUUUUAAACUAAGAAACAAGAACUCUUGAAACUACCUCAAGGUUUUAGAAAGUUGGACCAGAGCUAGUUUUAAGGCUAAAAAAUUAACCAAUUUUCUAAGCAUUGUAGAAGUUUGUGUUUAGGGCAAGAUUUUUGGACUGGGGUUCGAUUCCCCACAGCUCCACCA